CACGUAGGGUGCAAGCGUUAAUCGGAAUUACUGGGCGUAAAGCGUGCGCAGGCGGCUUUGCAAGACAGAUGUGAAAUCCCCGGGCUCAACCUGGGAACUGCAUUUGUGACUGCAUGGCUGGAGUGCGGCAGAGGGGGAUGGAAUUCCGCGUGUAGCAGUGAAAUGCGUAGAUACGCGGAGGAACACCGAUGGCGAAGGCAAUCCCCUGGGCCUGCACUGACGCUCAUGCACGAAAGCGUGGGGAGCAAACAGG
rnacentral:rRNA from 1 species